rnacentral:rRNA from 1 species
AUUGAACGCUGGCGGCAUGCUUUACACAUGCAAGUCGAACGGUAACAGGCCGCAAGGUGCUGACGAGUGGCGAACGGGUGAGUAAUGCAUCGGAACGUGCCCAGUCGUGGGGGAUAACUACUCGAAAGAGUAGCUAAUACCGCAUACGAUCUAUGGAUGAAAGCGGGGGACCGUAAGGCCUCGCGCGAUUGGAGCGGCCGAUGUCAGAUUAGGUAGUUGGUGGGGUAAAGGCUCACCAAGCCAACGAUCUGUAGCUGGUCUGAGAGGACGACCAGCCACACUGGGACUGGGACACGGCCCAGGCUCCUACGGGAGGCAGCAGUGGGGAAUUUUGGACAAUGGGCGCAAGCCUGAUCCAGCAAUGCCGCGUGCAGGAAGAAGGCCUUCGGGUUGUAAACUGCUUUUGUACGGAACGAAACGGCUCUGGUUAAUACCCGGGGCUAAUGACGGUACCGUAAGAAUAAGCACCGGCUAACUACGUG